CGAAUAUGCAUGUCUAUCUCCACCAAAGAAAAAUAGUUUAUCAUUUGGUCCUGUGCUGUGCAGUUGGAGCCGAGGCUAGCUAUCCCAGGCUCCCGGCGCUCUGUCUCUCCCCCGUACUACUCUCUCUCCCGAAACAGAGUAGCAACGCCGGACGCAGCCGGCUCGAUCUACCACUCCCGGCCACCUCCGGCGCCAUCGCUGGCAUCCACGGAACCCCCUCGUCCUCCUCUACUCGUUCCCCACACUCGCCACCUCCGCGGCCGCCUGGAACGACCUCGCCACCAGACCCUAGCGCCAUCGUCCCCGGGUCCGGCGGGCUCGCCGCCGUCCCCUACAACGACGAUUCCUACCUUCUUCUUUGCGCUCUCCAUCUACACCGUCUCGUCCAGCAGCGCACACGGCCAUGCCCGUCAGGGGGCAGCCAUCACCGGCCGUGCGGCUCGACGGCCAUGGUCGUCGCCACCGGGGCCGAGCCGGGACUCUCGCGGCCGAGGCAGCGCCACGGCAUGCGCGGUAUCAACGACACUCCUACUGCUAAUCCUCUUCUACCAGAUUUGGCAGAAGCAAGCAAAACUAUGCCACAAGUACUUUAUACAUUUAAUACUACAGAUUACAAGCAAACCGAGUGUCCAAUAUGGUGCCAAUACCUGAUGAAGCAGCGACAAGGUAGCACAAGCACAGCAGUGAAAAGGAGUGGAAGGGAGUGGCGCUGUCUGGGAGAGGCGGAGUGUGCGGUCGAAAAUGCCAAACAGUGAAAAGGACUGACUAUUUAUAGUAGGGAGAGGCUAGGUCGGUUUAGCACAAUUUGUGCCAGGUGGGCUGCAUGCACAGCUUUGAUGUACAUGCGUGUGUACACUUGUAUCUCUUCUAGCUGUAAUUUUUACAAGUGGGUGAAAGUGAGCUGGUGUGAGUUGGCUAUUACCUUGCCAUUAAGUAAUUGUAGGCAGGGACUAAUUUGUAAAUUUCGAAUUUUUAUUAGGGGAUGAAAAGUGAAACUGAUGUAUAAGAACUUUGUAAGAAAAUAUUGCUGGGACUUUGGUGAUUGAAUUUUAUUUAAUAUGAGAUUAGCGUGAAAUCAUGUUUA